GACGAACGCUGGCGGCGUGCUUAACACAUGCAAGUCGAACGAAGUGGCGAACGGGUGAGUAACGCGUAAUCAACCUGCCCUUCAGAGGGGGACCACAGUUGGAAACGACUGCUCAUACCGCAUACUGAAGGUGGGGGAUGCGUCGGAUGAGCUAGUUGGGGGGGUAACGGCCAACCAAGGCGAUGAUCAGUAGCCGGGCUGAGAGGAUGAACGGCCACAUUGGGACGGAGACACGGCCCAGACUCCUACGGGAGGCAGCAGUGGGGAAUCUGCCGCAAUGGACGAAAGUCUGACGGAGCAACGCCGCGUGAGUGAUGACGGCCUUCGGGUUGUAAAGCUCUGUUAAUCGGGACGCGGUACCGGAAUAGAAAGCCACGGCUAACUCCGUGCCAGCCGCCGCGGUAAUUC
rnacentral:rRNA from 1 species